rnacentral:lncRNA from 1 species
UAUUCACAUUGGAUAUAACUUAUCAAUUUAUGCACACGUUUGGAAACUCAGCUAACACUCUGUUUAAUGAAAGAUAUUUGCAAAAUGCACCAUAUCAUUCAUGUAACAUCUUACAACUCAUCAUUAUCACUAGGCUUUGCCAGAUUAAAAUCAAGCAUUUCAUCUGAUGUUAAGAAGCGAACAUCACUAUCUUCAGAAAGAGAAGAAUUUCCAGUUCCACGUUUAAUGAAAAGCAUCCAGAUUCUGUUAAUGAGGCGUUGUACAGAGGAGAGAUAAUUCUUGCUGUAUCAUUUACAAGACGUCCAGAUGCCUCAAUAUAAAGCUCCCAAUGUAUGAUCAUGUGUCGGACCUGUGCCAAUGUGCGAGCUCGGUGUUUCAAAAUUAUAUCGCCGCCAGUCAAAAUCAUGUAGAGGAUCCUGUUCCCACCAGCAUAAAUCCGGCUUCUCAAAGUCACACUUAGUAGGUGCAGUCGCGCUCGUAUCUAUUUCAUUUUCAUACUCAUUUUCCUCGGAUAUAUACACACGUU